rnacentral:misc_RNA from 1 species
AAGUCGUAACAAGGUUUCCGUAGGUGAACCUGCGGAAGGAUCAUUACAGAAUGAAGAGUGCUUAACUGCAUUUUUUCUUACACAUGUGUUUUUCUUUUUUUGAAAACUUUGCUUUGGUAGGCCUUCUAUAUGGGGCCUGCCAGAGAUUAAACUCAACCAAAUUUUAUUUAAUGUCAACCGAUUAUUUAAUAGUCAAAA